GAUGAACGCUAGCUACAGGCUUAACACAUGCAAGUCGCAGGGUAACAUGAGGAAAGCUUGCUUUCCUUGAUGACGACUGGCGCACGGGUGAGUAACGCGUAUCCAACCUUCCCAUAACUACGGGAUAACCCGUUGAAAGACGUCCUAAUACCGUAUGAUAUCGUUUGCUGACAUCAAAUAACGAAUAAAGGUUUAGCGGUUAUGGAGGGGGAUGCGUCUGAUUAGCUUGUUGGCGGGGUAACGGCCCACCAAGGCGACGAUCAGUAGGGGUUCUGAGAGGAAGGUCCCCCACGUUGGAACUGAGACACGGUCCAAACUCCUACGGGAGGCAGCAGUGAGGACUAUUGGUCAAUGGGCGAGAGCCUGAACCAGCCAAGUAGCGUGCAGGACGACGGCCCUAUGGGUUGUAAACUGCUUUUAUGUGGGGAUAAAGUGCGUGACGUGUCAUGCAUUGCAGGUACCACAUGAAUAAGGACCGGCUAAUUCCGU
rnacentral:rRNA from 1 species